CUGGUGGGACGAUCUGUCGCGGCGGCGUGUGCCGGGCCCCCGUCAUAGAAGGGACGCGUCGCUGAGGAAAGUCCGCACAGGACAGGGCACCCGUCUGCGGAAAGCGCAGCAGGGAGUAAUCUUUGGCAAGCGGUAACAGAAAACAACCGCCGUGGAAGGCCGCAAGGCCGUCAUUACUACGGUAAGGGUGAAAACGCGGGGCAAGAGCCCACGACUGUUUGUGGCGACACACUCAGGGUACCGCACACGGGCCUGCAAGACCAAAUAAACCGGCAGAUGAGGGCUGCCCGCCCGAUGCCGGGGGGUAGGUUGCGAAGAUAAAUGGCAGAUU
rnacentral:RNase_P_RNA from 1 species